CUGCUCGGGGCUGGAGACAGGGCUGCUGCUCCUGAAGCCUCAGAGCUGCUCCUUCCCCUUGGCAAUCACUGCCUGCACAGUCCUGUGGUGUGGGCUGGGGCCGGCUGGGGAUAAACAGGGCGAUGUCAAGCUGGGGUGAGCUUUCCAGUCAGGUUGUGUCAGUACACAUUGCUCAAGAGGUGAAGAUGCUCAUGGUGUCUUCCCUGUCCAUUCCCUGGGCCAUUCAUUCAUUUAUUUGUGCUAGUUUUACAGGAAAUAUCCCUCCAUCUUUAACUGCAUCUUAGGUUCUUUGUCUGGCGAGCCAUAGAAAAGGCAAAAUGAGGUUCUAUAAGAAGACAUCUGUUUGUAAUGCAUGCUUUUCUUCCCUUACCUUCUUCUCCAAGACUGGAUCAAGAUUUUCCUCAUGUGAAUCCCAGGAGUAUCUGCAAAGUCCACAGCUUAUGAAAAAGUUGUCCUGGGAAAGAUAUCUCCCUCCCCUCCUCCUCCUCCACCCUGCAGCAGGACCCAUUGUCUGCCGGCGGCAAGGCAUAAAGGAGUUAACGAAGGAGCCGGCGAGGAGGUAUGACGGGGUGAUGUCAGAAUAUUUCCAGGGAAAGAAUGUGUUGGGGGGCGCUGGCCGGGCUGGGGCUGGGGCUGGCGGCCCCCGGCCCCACCCCGACAUUCUUCUUGUCCGGUUCCCACAGGCGGAGAGUGGCACGGGGGGUCAGAGUGGACGAGCACAAAGAGAGACCCCCUGCUGCCGGGGCCAUCGUGCUGGGCUGUCACUGCUACUAAUUCAUGACUUCACCUUUAAUCUCACUGAUCCAUUAUAGGUUAAAAAGAGACCCAUUUUACAGCUGACAAGAUUGAAGGGAGCGCAACCCAGGAACUCGGGG
rnacentral:lncRNA from 1 species